CAAUGUUGAGCUAAACAACAUCAAGGAUUUUGAGGUGGUGCCACAAGAAUGUGUAGAUCACGUCAAACAUUACAUGACCUCGUCUCAGUACACAGCAGACUCCGAGAGGGCGAUCGAGGAAGUCAGGCUCUACCUCAGCAGUUGCUGUACUUUGGAAGGUGAUGGCAAAGAUGCUUGGAUUUUUGAUGUUGAUGACACUCUCUUGUCCACCAUACCUUACUACAAGAAACAUGGUUUUGGGUAAGCUUGUUUAUUUACUAGAUCAUGUAUUCUUUUGUUAUCACAUUUCCACUUGUUAUAGACAUCCUGAUGUUGUUGGAAAUUUAGAAAAAUCAGUGUUUUAUUCUCUAAGGGUAUGUGUGGUAGUGUUUGCUUUUCAAAUAACUUUUCGUGCCGAAAUGUAUGCCAAUGAUGUUUUUUCAUUUUUUAAAAAUUAUUUUUGACAUCAGCACAUCAAAACGAUUCAAAAUAUACAAACCGUAUUAAAUUUUAGCAAAAAUUUUUUUUUUUGAAUUUUAUGGGAACACGGUUUCAACUGCGUUUCUAAACACUUCUUAAGAUGGCUCGACCAAUUGAAACUCAAAUCUUCUCGAGCUUUGUUUUGGUGCGUUAUGGUGCAGUUGAGGAUGUUUUUAGAUUGACCACAACUUCAAAAGUUGUUUGGUUUUCAUUACUUGCUUAAACCUGUUUAUCAUUUUAAAUUGUGGUAAAAACUUGGGUUUGAGAGCUUGAUUUUUCAAACCGCAUCCACAAAAAAUAUCUUAAUCAAAUGAUAUUAUCAAAUAUACAACUGCUAGACUAUGCCUGCUUUUCACUGUUUUGAUCAAUCAGUCACUAAUGCAAUUUGGGUUGUGAAAUGGAAAUAAAACCAGGGGAGAGAAGCUCAAUGCAACCUUAUUCGAAUCAUGGAUGAAGCAAGGCAAAGCGCCUGCUCUAGACCAUACACUCAAGUUCUUCCAUGAGAUCAAAGGCAAAGGGGUCAAAAUCUUUCUUAUUUCCUCCAGAAGUGAAACCCUUAGAUCAGCCACUGUCGAGAAUCUUAUCAAUGCUGGAUACCAUGGAUGGUCCAGCCUCAUAUUGAGGUACAUGACUUGACCUAUUUGAUAUAUGUGUCAAUGGCCUAGCCUGUUCGGAAACGUGGGCGGUUGCAUCCGCGUUCCCAAACCAAAACCAUCACAGCCGCGCCCAUAUUCCGAAACGGGCACCAGAGUAAACAAGCAAUUUACCAUUUCUUUUCCUUGGUUUUACUGUAUAAAUACAGGGGUCUUGAAGACGACUUCAUGAAAGUGCAGCAAUACAAAUCCGAGGCAAGGAGAGCAUUGACAAAAGAAGGAUACCGCAUAUGGGGAAUCAUAGGAGAUCAGUGGAGCAGUGUGGAGGGACUCCCUGGUGCCAAAAGAACAUUCAAGUUGCCAAAUUCCAUGUACUACCUUUCCUAAAGCUUCCACUACCGACAUUAUUAUUCCAUAUGUUCAACCAGGCAUUGUCAUUGUUUAUCUGAUGAAAAAAACCAUGUUAAUCUAUGAUUUCUUUUUCUAAAAAAAAUCUCAGCUUCGAUCAGAUAUCUCAAAUAUCUCAGUAAAGGAAAUAUGCUUCAGAAUAAGGAAGCAGGUUUUGAUGCUUCGAACACUACAAUGGGCAGGUCUAGUUGUUGUCAUGUCUUACCUCCACUGAUAGAUAAAGCCAUCAAGAGUUAUUUUGAUUGCGAUGCAUGAGACUCUGUUUCGAGAAAAUCUUGAAGAACUUGGUUGGCAUUUCGUCCGAAUAGAGUGAAAGAAAAUGCUGUUUAAAAAAUAACCUGUGUUUAUAGCGUCGAGUGAUCGUAGCUGAUAUUUUCAGUUAUUUCUCCAGAAAGAUCAAUGAAUUUCUUGACUUUUAAACGAAAGAAUAUGAAUAAACUAAUUUU
rnacentral:lncRNA from 1 species